CUGAUGGACCUUAAUGAUGACACUUUAACACCGUGUGUCUGACUGAUGGACCUUAAUGAUGACACUUUAACACCGUGUGUCUGACUGCACAAAGAGCUUUCAAAAUGCUGUAAAACAGUGACUCUAGUAAGUGCCAAAUAAAGUAACAGGGUUGACUAACAGGGUUGACUAACAGGGUUGACUAACAGGGUUGACUAACAGGGUUGACUGUCACAGGGUUGACUGUCACAGGGUUGACUAACAGGGUUGACUAACAGGGUUGACUGUCACAGGGUUGACUGUCACAGGGUUGACUGUCACAGGGUUGACUGUCACAGGGUUGACUGUCACAGGGUUGACUGUCACAGGGUUGACUGUCACAGGGUUGACUGUCACAGGGUUGACGAGUUCAUGUUAAAUCAGCCAUAAAUCUCUUUGUGACGAGGGGGAAUGGAAGAUUGUUGUGUGCAACAGGGAGGGCUUCUUUUUUAAAAUAUAUCUAUAUUUCUGGGUAACAUGUAACGUAUGCUGCUCAACCCGCCUCAGGUUUCCACCACAAAACAUCAGAAUAUGUACAAAAAGAGCGGAACCAGCUCACCUGCUUUUACACUGAAAAAUAAUAUUUAAGAAGGAAUAGUUUCACCAUAUUUAAACGAGGGUUCAGUUCAUGUAACAAGGUUGACCUCUAAAAUCAGGGGCAGGUUUUUUUUUUUUUUUUUACCUUUUUAAAAUAAUUCACUAAUCACAUUUAAAUGAAUUAAUCUCUAGAAAUGGCAAAAUAACUAGGUCUUUACAAUGUUGGUGAAAACCUUUUUGGGGUUGAAGUGUCUGUCAACAGUUGCUACAUCCAGUUUGGAUUCUUGAAGAAUGUAACUGAUAAAUACCUCAUGAGCUCAACUGUCACACCACAUCAGUCCUUGCAUCCAUAGCCCUGUCUGGUUCUUCAGCCCAGUCCCUCAGCUUUUUACCAAAACAGGGGCGGGGAGUUAAUUUAUAGUUUUUUUUACUGCUGAUUGCGGCUUUAAGUGGGUUAAAAUCUAGCCAAAAUCCUGACUUUAUGUCACUGUAGCAAGUCUGUUCGCAUUAAAAGUCAGAUUCUGUGGUCUAUAUUAAAGGGCCUGUUAAAAUAGAGUUUUGGUGCACCGUUGUAACUGAAACAUCGAAGGGAUGCAGAAGAAACGUCUGUGGAACAAGUCUGUUCAGCGUUGCUUCAGGGCCUCCUUGUGAGCCGGACGUCUUUAUUAACAACGAUACCGGCAAGCUGAACUGGCUGCUUAUAGCAUAUUUUCACAAAGACAACUAUCAUUCCCCCCCUCCCCCCCCCAAACUAUAACAAAGAUAAAGCUGGAACCGUAACCAAGGCGAUUGGCUCGUGGGUCAUUCAUGUUCUGCAACGGUGUUUACUGCCAGAUCAGAGAAAUACUGUUUUUUAUUUAUCCACAAUCAUUACUGUUCUUGUCAGAUGGUAAAAAAAAAAAACAUGUCAAAGGUCAAAUCCAGUUUGUUCUAUUCCACCUCUGCCUUAAAGGUUUAUAGGAAGACGAGUGUUAAGACGCUACAAGAUUUACUUCAGUUUAUGUCCAGAGAAUUUCCAUUAUUGAAAUGUUGAUGUGACUAACAUUUGAUCUCCUCGCAGUGAUCUGCAUCUAGGACAAUCUAGCUGUAUGUUUUUAUAAGGUGUUUAUUUAUCAACUAAUGUAUUCAUCAACUGUCUGCACAAUUUCUUAUUGGGUGACAAUUAUAGUACAUUUUUGUUUUUUGUGUAUUUUACUGUUGAAAGAAAUGGAUGUUGAAUAAGUUACAUAUAUACACACUGUGCCCAGGUCAGGAAUGACUCGCGUCAAUUAAUAUAUCUAUAUGCUGUACGUAGAGGGGUGUUGUGCCGGGAAGACAGGCUGUACGUAGAGGGGUGUUGUGCCGGGAAGACAGGCUGUACGUAGAGGGGCGUUGUGCCGGGAAGACAGGCUGUACGUAGAGGGGGGUUGUGCCGGGAAGACAGGCUGAAGAGGGCGUUGUGCCGGGAAGACAGGCUGUACGUAGAGGGGCGUUGUGCCGGGAAGACAGGGUAGAGGGGUGUUGUGCCGGGAAGACAGGCUGUACGUAGAGGGGCGUUGUGCCGGGAAGACAGGCUGUACGUAGAGGGGCGUUGUGCCGGGAAGACAGGCUGUACGUAGAGGGGCGUUAAGACAGGCUGUACGUAGAGGGGCGUUGUGCCGGGAAGACAGGCUGUACGUAGAGGGGCGUUGUGCCGGGAAGACAGGCUGUACGUAGAGGGGCGUUGUGCCGGGAAGACAGGCUGUACGUAGAGGGGCGUUGUGCCGGGAAGACAGGCUGUACGUAGAGGAGCAGGAAAACAGGUCAGGUCUUAAUAAUAAUAUUUGUAACAUGCAAAUACACAUCUGAGCCUCAUUCAGUCUGCAGUUAAAAACAUUGUGGAGCGUUGCAGACAAAUGUCAUGAAUAAAGCUUUGUGAUUCCUCAUCCUGCAGGUCAGAGAGGCAUGUUAGUUCUACAAAAACAUAUCUGAACAUUCCACAACAGUGUGCUCUGCUGAACACAGCCCUGUUUACAAUUCAUCUGCCACAUUGAUAAUGAUCCAUUCCCCCUGGGGGGGGGGGGCGCGUUCAGCAAGACACAAUGUUUGGGAACGUUCAGAUAGAAAUAUGCUCUGUAGAACAAACAUGCCUCUCUGUCCUGUAGAAUAAGGAAUCAUGUUGGCUCUAUUUCUGGUGUUUCUAUCUGCAACGUUUUGGCUGCUGAACGUGGCCCUGGGGUUCUAUUGUCGUAACCAGGAAGUGGGCAGGAAACAGUGAGGGCAGGGCCUCUGCUUCAAAGAGGGCGGAAGUCAGUCUCCAAAGACCUCUCUGUUAGACUGUCUAAUGUGUACAAUAAAAGAGUUGGUGCUGUUUUAUUGAAAACAGUGAAUCUGAUCAACCGUUUUAUGUUCAGUUUGCAGCAAUACAAAUCUUAACCCCGAUUUCAUUGCAACCUCGUAGAGACACGCCUCCAUAAUUCUGCUAGAACCAAUGAAAUGACUCCCCUGUUUGCCUGGGUCAGUGUACAGGGCCGUAUUCCUCUAGUCCCCCUGAAGACAGAGAUCCUGUUGAAUUCUUCCUUCAGUCAUUUCUUGGUGAUUUAUAUCUGGUCUGUCCUGUGGUUGUUUUCUCUCCAUCACAUCUCUGUCAACAGACCCUGUCAAAUCAGAACAAUUAUUAUUGAAGGAAGGAAGGAUGUUGAGGCAUUUGUAGAAAAUAUAACCAGGCUGAAGACCUGGUACAGCCUAAUGGUGCUGAGUGUUCUCUGAACUGUACUGGUCCAAUAACAACUUUUGGAACGUAAACCUAAAUUGUUCAAAGCUAUUUCCAAUGGUGUACCCAAAUGAACACUCCUCAGAAGUGUAAGCUAAGAAGCUCACAAAUUAGUUUUUCCUAGGAGAUUUUGGGGCGUGAUACUAGUUAUCCCAGCCAUAGGGUCGUUACCCCUGUCCAUUUCUUCAAUUCCUCUUCUUAAAAUGUUAUUUUAAACCUUCACCACACUGCUAACCUUAUGCCUAACCGUAACCACACUGCUAACCUUAUGCCUAACCGUAACCACACUGCUAACCUUAUGCCUAACCUUAACCACACUGCUAACCUUACGCCUAACCUUAACCACACUGCUAACCUUAUGCCUAACCGUAACCACACUGCUAACCUUAUGCCUAACCUUAACCACACUGCUAACCUUAUGCCUAACCUUAACCACACUGCUAACCUUAUGCCUAACCUUAACCACACCUAACCUUAUGCCUAACCUUAACCACACUGCUAACCUUAUGCCUAACCUUAACCACACUGCUAACCUUAUGCCUAACCUUAACCACACUGCUAACCUUACGCCUAACCUUAACCACACUGCUAACCUUAUGCCUAACCGUAACCACACUGCUAACCUUACGCCUAACCUUAACCACACUGCUAACCUUAUGCCUAACCUUAACCACACUGCUAACCUUAUGCCUAACCUUAACCACACUGCUAACCUUAUGCCUAACCUUAACCACACUGCUAACCUUAUGCCUAACCUUAACCACACUGCUAACCUUACGCCUAA
ensembl:lncRNA